UCCAUCACUGUUGCCGGCCAUUACCACUUACGAUUCAUCAAAAAGGUUCAAGUGUACGCAGUGAGCAUUAGUCACAUCUACAGCUUGAGAGUCCAUUACUGUUUCCGACAAUCUUCCACUUUCCAUUCAUCAAAGAGGUUCAAGUGUACGCAGUGAGCUUUAGUCACAUCUACAGCUUGAGGGCCAAAGCCUUUUCACCAGUGAACACCACUGGUGGUGCGUGAACAUGGUACAUGGACGAAGACCAAGGAAAUACGCUCGUUCCAUAGACAGUGGCGUUAUGGAUUGGGAGCUAAAGUGGCAGCAGAAUUUUUUUUUUUCCUGACUCGAGGUAAAUUUAGUGAAGUGAUAGAAAGUGACUAUGACACGGAUGAUGUUGUAGCCGACUUGCUCGGUCUACAAAAAAACCAAUGGUUAAGAUAAAAGAAGUGACCUACCG